UGGGGAAUUUUGGACAAUGGGCGCAAGCCUGAUCCAGCCAUGCCGCGUGAGUGAAGAAGGCCUUCGGGUUGUAAAGCUCUUUCAGUAGGAACGAAACGAUAGGCUCUAACAUAGCCUGUUACUGACGGUACCUACACAAGAAGCACCGGCUAACUACGUGCCAGCAGCCGCGGUAAUACGUAGGGUGCGAGCGUUAAUCGGAAUUACUGGGCGUAAAGCGUGCGCAGGCGGUUUCUUAAGCCUGAUGUGAAAGCCCCGGGCUUAACCUGGGAAUUGCGUUUGGCACUGAGAGACUAGAGUGUGGCAGAGGGAGGUAGAAUUCCACGUGUAGCAGUGAAAUGCGUAGAGAUGUAGAGGAAUACCGAUGGCGAAGGCAGCCUCCUGGGCGAACACUGACGCUCAUGCACGAAAGCGUGGGGAGCAAACAG
rnacentral:rRNA from 1 species